UACGAAGGGGCUAGCGUUGCUCGGAAUCACUGGGCGUAAAGCGCACGUAGGCGGCUUCUUAAGUCAGGGGUGAAAUCCUGGAGCUCAACUCCAGAACUGCCUUUGAUACUGAGAGGCUUGAGUCCGGGAGAGGUGAGUGGAACUGCGAGUGUAGAGGUGAAAUUCGUAGAUAUUGCAAGAACACCAGUGGCGAAGGCGGCUCACUGGCCCGGUAC
rnacentral:rRNA from 1 species